GACGAACGCUGGCGGCGUGCUUAAUACAUGCAAGUCGAACGGAAAGGCCCUGCUUUUGUGGGGUGCUCGAGUGGCGAACGGGUGAGUAACACGUGAGUAACCUGCCCUUGACUUUGGGAUAACUUCAGGAAACUGGGGCUAAUACCGGAUAGGAGCUCCUGCUGCAUGGUGGGGGUUGGAAAGUUUCGGCGGUUGGGGAUGGACUCGCGGCUUAUCAGCUUGUUGGUGGGGUAGUGGCUUACCAAGGCUUUGACGGGUAGCCGGCCUGAGAGGGUGACCGGCCACAUUGGGACUGAGAUACGGCCCAGACUCCUACGGGAGGCAGCAGUGGGGAAUAUUGCACAAUGGGCGGAAGCCUGAUGCAGCAACGCCGCGUGCGGGAUGACGGCCUUCGGGUUGUAAACCGCUUUCGCCUGUGACGAAGCGUGAGUGACGGUAAUGGGGAAAGAAGCACCGGCUAACUACGU
rnacentral:rRNA from 1 species